rnacentral:rRNA from 1 species
UACGUAGGGUCCGAGCGUUGUCCGGAAUUACUGGGCGUAAAGAGCUCGUAGGUGGUUUGUCGCGUUGUCCGUGAAAACUCACAGCUUAACUGUGGGCGUGCGGGCGAUACGGGCAGACUGGAGUACUGCAGGGGAGACUGGAAUUCCUGGUGUAGCGGUGGAAUGCGCAGAUAUCAGGAGGAACACCGGUGGCGAAGGCGGGUCUCUGGGCAGUAACUGACGCUGAGGAGCGAAAGCGUGGGGAGCAAACAGG